AGUGAACGCUGGCGGUAGGCCUAACACAUGCAAGCCGAACGGCAGCACAGUAAGAGCUUGCUCUUACGGGUGGCGAGUGGCGGACGGGUGAGGAAUACAUCGGAAUCUACUUUUUCGUGGGGGAUAACGUAGGGAAACUUACGCUAAUACCGCAUACGACCUACGGGUGAAAGCAGGGGAUCUUCGGACCUUGCGCGAUUGAAUGAGCCGAUGUCGGAUUAGCCAGUUGGCGGGGUAAAGGCCCACCGAGGCGACGAUCCGUAGCUGGUCUGAGAGGAUGAUCAGCCACACUGGAACUGAGACACGGUCCAGACUCCUACGGGAGGCAGCAGUGGGGAAUAUUGGACAAAGGGCGCAAGCCUGAUCCAGCCAUACCGCGUGGGUGAAGAAGGCCUUCGGGUUGUAAAGCCCUUUUGUUGGGAAAGAAAAGCAGCAGGUUAAUACCCCGCUGUUCUGACGGUACCCAAAGAAUAAGCACCGGCUAACUUCGUG
rnacentral:rRNA from 1 species